rnacentral:lncRNA from 1 species
CAGUAAGCUACGGGAACUUAAUCCGGCUUCAAUAAUUGCACCCUGGUAGAAGACAUGGAGACAGGAAGAAAUAGAUGCUUUGCUUCAAGUAUUGGCCUCUGUCUAGCUCCAAACAAAUUCAAGACUCAAACCAGUAAGAGAGCAACUGAACAACACCACUUCCGGGUAAAUAUAAUAGGUAAUCAUCAUAAGGACCGAAUUCCUGAGGAAGCUACGCAAUAAUCGUUAAAUCGUUAAACAGCCAAAUUAUACACAAGAAAAGGCAGUACUUCAGCAGAAAGAACUAUGUUGGUACAAAUGAAGUAAGAAGUUAUUGUUUGGUUUCUGUGACCUGUGUAAGUGAUAAUUUAGAAAGAAAAGUAGGCAAAAAAGCA